AUUGAACGCUGGCGGCAGGCCUAACACAUGCAAGUCGAGCGUGCGGCGGACGGGUGAGUAAUGUCUGGGAAACUGCCUGAUGGAGGGGGAUAACUACUGGAAAAGGUAUCUAAUACCGCAUACCAUCAGAUGUGCCCAGAUGGGAUGAGCUAGGCGGUGGGGUAACGGCUCACCUAGUCGACGAUCCCUAGCUGGCCUGAGAGGAGGACCAGCCACACUGGAACUGAGACACGGUCCAGACUCCUACGGGAGGCAGCAGUGGGGAAUAUUGCACAAUGGGCGCAAGCCUGAUGCAGCCAUGCCGCGGGUGUGAAGAAGGCCUUCGGGUUGUAAAGCACUUUCAGCGGGGAGGCGUUACCCGCAGAAGAAGCACCGGCUAACUCCGUGCCAGCCGCCGCGGUAAUUC
rnacentral:rRNA from 1 species